rnacentral:rRNA from 1 species
UACAGAGGUCUCAAGCGUUGUUCGGAUUCAUUGGGCGUAAAGGGUGCGUAGGUGGCGUCGUAAGUCGGGUGUGAAAUUUCGGAGCUUAACUCCGAAACUGCAUUCGAUACUGCGGUGCUUGAGGACUGGAGAGGAGACUGGAAUUACGGUGUAGCAGUGAAAUGCGUAGAGAUCGUAAGGAAGACCAGUGGCGAAGGCGGGUCUCUGGAC